UACGUAGGGGGCUAGCGUUGUCCGGAAUCAUUGGGCGUAAAGCGCGUGUAGGCGGCCCGGUAAGUCCGCUGUGAAAGUCGGGGGCUCAACCCUCGAAAGCCGGUGGAUACUGUCGGGCUCGAGUGCGGAAGAGGCGAGUGGAAUUCCUGGUGUAGCGGUGAAAUGCGCAGAUAUCAGGAGGAACACCUAUUGCGAAGGCAGCUCGCUGGGACGUAACUGACGCUGAGACGCGAAAGCGUGGGGAGCAAACAGG
rnacentral:rRNA from 1 species